ncrna:unclassified sequences Type-P5 twister ribozyme ribozyme sequence
UGCAGAGCGAAAAAGCCUACUAUCUCACUUCAAUCUCCCGGAUAGCAGGUUUUUUUAAUGCAGGAAGACCGGUCGCAACCCCGG